GAUGAACGCUGGCGGCGUGCCUAAUACAUGCAAGUCGAGCGAACGGACGAGAAGCUUGCUUUUCUGAUGUUAGCGGCGGACGGGUGAGUAACACUUGGAUAACCUACCUAUAAGACUGGGAUAACUUCGGGAAACCGGAGCUAAUACCGGAUAAUAUUUUGAACCGCAUGGUUCAAAAUUGAAAGACGUUCUUGCUGUCACUUAUAGAUGGAUCCGCGCUGCAUUAGCUAGUUGGUAAGGUAACGGCUUACCAAGGCAACGAUGCAUAGCCGACCUGAGAGGGUGAUCGGCCACACUGGAACUGAGACACGGUCCAGACUCCUACGGGAGGCAGCAGUAGGGAAUCUUCCGCAAUGGGCGAAAGCCUGACGGAGCAACGCCGCGUGAGUGAUGAAGGUCUUCGGAUCGUAAAACUCUGUUAUUAGGGAAGAACAUAUGUGUAAGUAACUGUGCACAUCUUGACGGUACCUAAUCAGAAAGCCACGGCUAACUACGUG
rnacentral:rRNA from 1 species